rnacentral:rRNA from 1 species
UAGUCAUAUGCUUGUCUCAAAGAUUAAGCCAUGCAUGUCUAAGUAUAAACAACUUUAUACUGUGAAACUGCGUACAGCUCAUUAUAUCAGUAAUAAUUUAUUUGAUGGUACUUUACUACACGGAUAACUGUGGUAAUUCUAUAGCUAAUACGUGCGUAAAGUCCCGACUCCGGCCUCGGCUGGGGAAGGGAUGUACUUAUUAGAUAAAAACCAAUGCGUCCUUCGGGGCGGUUUUGUGUUGAUUCAUAGUAAUUUAUCGAAUCGCAUGGCCUUCGUG